GGCUGGUCCGAAGGUAGUGGGUUAUCAAAACAUACUAACAUUAGUGUCACUAAAGUUGGUAUUCAACCCCCCACUGCUAAAUUUGACUGGCUUUAA
rnacentral:Y_RNA from 1 species